GGACGAACGCUGGCGGCGUGCCUAAUACAUGCAAGUAGAACGCUGAAGACUUUAGCUUGCUAAAGUUGGAAGAGUUGCGAACGGGUGAGUAACGCGUAGGUAACCUGCCUACUAGCGGGGGAUAACUAUUGGAAACGAUAGCUAAUACCGCAUAACAGCAUUUAACACAUGUUAGAUGCUUGAAAGGAGCAAUUGCUUCACUAGUAGAUGGACCUGCGUUGUAUUAGCUAGUUGGUGAGGUAACGGCUCACCAAGGCGACGAUACAUAGCCGACCUGAGAGGGUGAUCGGCCACACUGGGACUGAGACACGGCCCAGACUCCUACGGGAGGCAGCAGUAGGGAAUCUUCGGCAAUGGGGGCAACCCUGACCGAGCAACGCCGCGUGAGUGAAAAGAAGGUUUUCGGAUCGUAAAGCUCUGUUGUAAGAGAAGAACGUGUGUGAGAGUGGAAAGUUCACACAGUGACGGUAACUUACCAGAAAGGGACGGCUAACUACGUGCCAGCCGCUGC
rnacentral:rRNA from 1 species